GAUGAACGCUGGCGGCGUGCCUAAUACAUGCAAGUCGAGCGAACAGACGAGGAGCUUGCGCCUCUCACGUUAGCGGAAGGCGGGUGAAUCACACGUGGAUAACCUACCUAUAUGACGGGGAUAACUUCGGGAAACCGGAUAUAAUCCCGUAGAAUAUCUUGAACCGCAUGGUUCAAUGGUAAAAUACGGUUUUGCGGUCUGUUCUAGCUGGUUCCGCGCCGCAUUAGCUAGUUGGUAAGGUAACGGCUUACCAAGGCAACGAUGCGUAGCCGACCUGAGAGGGUGAUCGGCCACACUGGAACUGAGACACGGACCAUACUCCUACGGUACGCAGCAGUAGGGAACCUGCCGCAAUGGGCGAAAGCCUGACGGAGUAACGCCGCGUGAGAUAUGAAGGUCUUCCGUUCGUAAAACUCUGUUAUUAGUGAAGAACAAAUGUGUAAGUAACUAUGCACUUCUUGACGGUACCUAAUCAGAAAGCCACGGCUAACUACGUG
rnacentral:rRNA from 1 species